GCGCACCAGGCGAGAAAACUUCACACUGUGCGAAAGCACGAUGAGGGAAUCCCAAGUGCUUGCACGUAAGUGUAAGCUGUUUCUCUGUCUAAAACGCAGAGAGAGUAAGGGCUGGGUAAGACGGGUGCCAGCCGCCGCGGUAAUACCUGGCAGCUCAAGUGGUGACCGUUAUUAUUGGGCCUAAAACGUCCGUAGCCGGUUUAAUAAAUGCCUGGGUAAAUUGUGUAGCUUAACUAUACGAAUUCCGGGUA
rnacentral:rRNA from 1 species